AUACGGAGGAUCCGAGCGUUAUCCGGAUUUAUUGGGUUUAAAGGGUGCGCAGGCGGCCAUUUAAGUCAGCGGUUAAAUCGUGGGGCUCAACCCCAUUCUGCCGUUGAUACUGGGUGGCUUGAUUGCGGUCGAGGUUGGCGGAAUUUGUUGUGUAGCGGUGAAAUGCAUAGAUAUGACGAAGAACACCGAUUGCGUAGGCAGCUGACCAGACCGCAAAUGACGCUCAUGCACGAAAGUGCGGGGAUCGAACAGGAUUAGAUACCCUGGUAGUCCGCACAGUAAACGAUGAAUACUUGUUUUCGGCGAUAUAAUGUCGGAGGCAAAGCGAAAGCGAUAAGUAUUCCACCUGGGGAGUACGCCGGCAACGGUGAAACUCAAAUGAAUUGGCGG
rnacentral:rRNA from 1 species